UGGGGAAUAUUGGGCAAUGGGCGAAAGCCUGACCCAGCGACGCCGCGUGGGCGAUGAAGGCCUUCGGGUUGUAAAGCCCUGUCAUGCGGAAAGAACGACCCUGUGACGCAUACUCACAGGGAGUGACGGUACCGCAGGAGGAAGCACCGGCUAACUCCGUGCCCGCAGCCGCGGUAAUACGGAGGGUGCAAGCGUUGUUCGGAAUUAUUGGGCGUAAAGGGCGCGUAGGCGGUAAUGUAAGUCAGAUGUGAAAUACUCAGGCGCAACCAGAGAACAGCAUCUGAAACUGCAUAACUAGAGUACAGAAGAGGGAAACGGAAUUCCCGGUGUAGAGGUGAAAUUCGUAGAUAUCGGGAGGAACACCAGUGGCGAAGGCGGUUUCCUGGUCUGAUACUGACGCUGAGGCGCGAAAGUGUGGGGAGCAAACA
rnacentral:rRNA from 1 species